rnacentral:rRNA from 1 species
GGUUUGAUUCUGGCUCAGAUUGAACGCUGGCGGGAUGCUUUACAUUACGUAAGCCGAAAACUCCGUGUUAAUGAUCCUGGUCUGAGCAAGAUGGCGAACGGGUAGCAAUGUAUCGGAAACCGCCAGAGAAAGGUGGAUAAUCAUGAAAGUAGUUAGUAAUGAACGGCGUACACGCCUUCGGGGGAAAAAUGGGGACCUGGCCUCGCACUAUUAGAGUGGCCGAUAUCGGAUUAGCUAGUUGGUGGGGUAACGGCUCACCAAGGCGACGAUCCGUAGCUGGUUUGAGAGGACGACCAGCCACACUGGGACUGAGACACGGCCCAGACUCCUACGGGAGGCAGCAGUGGGGAAUUUUGACAAUGGGGGAAACCCCGAUCCAGCCAUCCCGCGUGCGAUGAAGGCCUUCGGGUUGUAAAGCACUUUUGGCAGGAAAGAAACGGCACGGAUAAUAAUUCGCCCUUAAACCACGUCCGCAUGAAUGUAUUUUGACCGAAGCACUACGCCAGCAGCCGCGGUAAUACGUAGGGGCAAGCGUUAAUCGGAAUUAUUCGUCACGAAGCGUGCGCGAGGCGGGUUCGGAAAGAAGAUGUGAAACUUGUGAGCUUAACUUUGAAACUGCAUUUUUAACUACCGAUGAGAGACAUUUUGCCAGAGGAGGUGGAAUUCCCGCGUAGCAGCACAAUGCGUAGAUAUGCGGAGGAACACCGAUGGCGAAGGCAGCCUCCCGAUAACAUCGACGCUCAUACUGAAAUGCGCAGGAGCAGAGGAUUAGAUACCCUGGUAGUCCACGCCCUAAACGAUGUCAACUAGCUGUUGGGGCCUUCGGGUCUGGUAGCGCUUGUUAACGCGUGAAGUUGACCGCCUGGGGAGUACGGUCGCAAGAUUAAAACUCAGCGUCGAAUCGACGGGGAACCCGCACAAGCGUGGAUGAUGUGAUUAAUUCGAUGCAACGCGAAAACCUUACCUACCCUUGACAUGUUCGGAAUCCCGAAGAGAUUUGGGAGUGCUCGCAAGAGAACCGGAACGCAGUGGUGCUGCAUGGCUACCGUUAACCAGCAACGGCGUUACUCACCGUCCACGCGUCCGGAACGUUACACUCGAAAGGCACCUGACGAGACUGCCGGUGACAAACCGGAGGAAGGUAAUACCGUCUUUGCGGCUCUUGCGGUAGAGCCGCGACGCCAAUACCUGGUCAGACUUUGUGAUAUUUUCAACCGCGAGUGGUGGAGCCAAUCAGGAAAACCCGAUCGUAGUCCGAUCGCAGUCUGCAACUCGAUCACGUCGCGGUUCCAAUCGCUAGUAAUCGCGGAUCAGCAUGUCGCCCAGCAUGGCGAAGACUUCAGCCAUAAUGAUGAUCGCUCGCCCAAGACUGCGAUAAAAUCAGUCGCAACAGAAGUAUUCAGCCUUAACCGUAAGGAGGGCGAUUACCACGGUAGGAUUCAUGACUGGGGUGAAGUCGUAACAAGGUAG